rnacentral:rRNA from 1 species
GCCCAGUGACACUUUGUUCAACGGCCGCGGUAUCCUAACCGUGCGAAGGUAGCGUAAUCACUUGUUCUUUAAAUGAGGACUAGAAUGAACGGCACUACGAGGGUUACACUGUCUCCUUUUUUCAAUCAGUUAAACUAAUCUCCCCGUGAAGAAGCGGGGAUAAGCCUAUAAGACGAGAAGACCCUAUGGAGCUUUAAAUUUUGUUACAACUGCUAUCCUACCCUUUAAGUCCAAGACUUCUCACAUAACUACUAGCAUCCUGAUAAUAAAUUUUAGGUUGGGGUGACCGCGGAGUAUAAUACAACCUCCACAUUGACACAGGCCUAACGCCUUGAACCAAGAGCCACGACUCUAAGAAAUAACAAAUUAACAUUUAUUGACCCAAUACACUUGAUCAACGAACCAAGUUACCCUAGGGAUAACAGCGCAAUCCACUUUAAGAGCCCCUAUCGACAAGUGGGUUUACGACCUCGAUGUUGGAUCAGGGUGUCCCAGUGGUGCAGCCGCUACUAAAGGUUCGUUUGUUCAACGAUUAAAACCCUACGUGA